GGGCUCACACAAGCGGUGGAGCAUGUUGCUUAAUUCGAGGCAACGCGAAGAACCUUACCUGGGCUUGACAUGGCUGGAUUAACCCCUUGAAAGAGGGGCCACACCCGCAAGGGUGGAACAGUCACAGGUGCUGCAUGGCUGUCGUCAGCUCGUGCUGUGAAGUGUCAGGUUAAGUCCUUUAACGAGCGCAACCCCUAUCGUUAGUUGCUCGGCGCAAGCCAGUACUCUAGCGAGACUGCCGGUGUCAAACCGGAGGAAGGUGGGGAUGACGUCAAGUCCUCAUGGCCUUUACGCCCAGGGUUGCAAACGUGCUACAAUGGCGUACACAAAGCGGCGCGAAGCGGCGACGCAGAGCAAAUCGCAAAAAAUACGCCCCAGUUCGGAUUGCAGGCUGCAACUCGCCUGCAUGAAGUCGGAAUCGCUAGUAAUCGGAGAUCAGCUACGCUCCGGUGAAUGUGUUCCUGAGCCUUGUACACACCGCCCGUCACG
rnacentral:rRNA from 1 species